rnacentral:rRNA from 1 species
AUUGAACGCUGGCGGCAGGCCUAACACAUGCAAGUCGAACGAGUGGCGGACGUGUGAGUAAGGUCUGGGAAACUGCCCGAUGGAGGAGGAUAACUACUGGAAACGGUAGCUAAUACCGCAUACCAUCGGAUGUGCCCCGAUGGGAGUAGCUAGUAGGUGGGGUAACGGCUCACCUAGGAGACGAUCCUUAGCUGGUCUGAGAGGAUGAACAGCCACACUGGACCUGAGACACGGUCCAGACUCCUACGGGAGGCAGUAGUGGGGAAUAUUGCACAAUGGGCUCAAGCCUGAUGCAGCCAUGCCGCGUGUAUGAAGAAGGCCUUCGGGUUGUAAAGUACUUGCAGCGAGGAGGCGUUACUCGCAGAAGAAGCACCGGCUAACUCCGUGCCAGCAGCCGCGGUAAUAC